GUAAAGCGUCUGUAGGUGGCUUUUUAAGUCCGCCGUCAAAUCCCAGGGCUCAACUCUGGACAGGCGGUGGAAACUACCAAGCUGGAGUAUGGUAGGGGCAGAGGGAAUUUCCGGUGGAGCGGUGAAAUGCGCAGAGAUCGGUAAGAACACCAACGGCGAAAGCACUCUGCUGGGCCGACACUGACACUGAGAGACGAAAGCUAGGGGAGCGAAUGGGAUUAGAUACCCUGAGGUCCCAUAUUGACUAUCAUGAGGUCUUUUCUUGUAGAUGGUACAGUCAUAGGUUUUUCCCGAUUCAUUCUUGC
rnacentral:lncRNA from 1 species